UACGUAGGUGGCAAGCGUUGUCCGGAAUUAUUGGGCGUAAAGGGCGCGUAGGCGGUACCCUAAGUCAGAUGUGAAAUCCCGGGGCUUAACUCCGGACGUGCAUUUGAAACUGGGGAACUCGAGUGCAGGAGAGGUAAGUGGAAUUCCUAGUGUAGCGGUGAAAUGCGUAGAUAUUAGGAGGAACACCAGUGGCGAAGGCGACUUACUGGACUGUAACUGACGCUGAGGCGCGAAAGCGUGGGGAGCAAACAGG
rnacentral:rRNA from 1 species